rnacentral:rRNA from 1 species
CCUACGGGUGGCAGCAGUAGGGAAUAUUGCUCAAUGGGGGAAACCCUGAAGCAGCAACGCCGCGUGGAGGAUGAAGGUUUUCGGAUUGUAAACUCCUUUUGUUAGAGAAGAUAAUGACGGUAUGCAACGACUAAGCACCGGCUAACUCCGUGCCACCAGCCGCGGUAAUACGGAGGGUGCAAGCGUUACUCGGAAUCACUGGGCGUAAAGAGCGCGUAGGCGGGAUAGCAAGUCAGAGGUGAAAUCCUAUGGCUUAACCAUAGAACUGCAUUUGAAACUGUUAGUCUAGAGUAUGGGAGAGGUAGGUGGAAUGCUUGGUGUAGGGGUAAAAUCCGUAGAGAUCGAGCAGAAUACUGAUUGCGAAGGCGACCUGCUAGAACAAAACUGACGCUGAUGCGCGAAAGCGUGGGGAGCGAACAGGAUUAGAUACCCCAGUAGUC